GCCUGGAUAGCUCAGCUGGUUGGAGCAUGCUACUGAUAAUACCAAGGUUGCAGGUUCGAUCCCCACAUAGGACA
rnacentral:tRNA from 1 species